UAUGUGAUCGUCUCUCGCAUAUCAAUAAGCGGAGGAAAAGAAACUAACAAGGAUUCCCCUAGUAACGGCGAGUGAAGCGGGAAGAGCUCAAAUUUGAAAUCUUAAAGGGUUUGCCCUUUACGAAUUGUAGUUUAAAGAAGUGUUUUCUGUUGAGGUUUUGGUAAAAGUUCUUUGGAAUAGGACAUCAUAGAGGGUGAGAAUCCCGUAUUUGACCUUUACUUUCAACUUUGUGAUACACUUUCAAAGAGUCGGAUUGUUUGGGAAUGCAGUCCAAAAUGGGUGGUAAAUUUCAUCUAAAGCUAAAUAUUGGCGAGAGACCGAUAGCGAACAAGUACCGUGAGGGAAAGAUGAAAAGAACUUUGAAAAGAGAGUUAAACAGUACGUGAAAUUGUCAAAAGGGAAGCGUUUGACACCAGUGUUGUUUUUCUGAAAAUCAAUUAAAGAACUGUUUAUGCUAAGCUGUUUAGACUUUAUCAGCUAACUGUUUAGUUUUGAGCUUUUCUUUAAUGCACUUUUCAGUUAACAAGUCAACAUCAAUUUCUUUUGCUGUAAAAAAGCUUGAGGAAGGUGGCUUGAGAUUCGUCUUAAGUGUUUAUAGCCUCUUGCCUAUGCAGUCGGAGAGAUUGAGGUCUGCAGCGUAGAUCCUUCGGGGCUAGAUGCAUUUGUGCUAAGUUAUAGCAUUUUAUAGACAACUUGUUGACUAUGAUUUGUCUUGUAGCUUACUCGCUUAUGUUAUUUUACCUACGCUUAGGAUGUUGACUGAUAUGUAGUCGUA
rnacentral:rRNA from 1 species